CUGGGUUCGAUUGCCGGUGGAGUCGUUCUUUAAAAUUAGAACAAAAUAAAAGCAUAGAUUGACCCAACAAGCAAGUUACGUGGGCAACCCUUCUCUUCUGCAACCCUCACUGGUGGUGGGUUGGGUUGGAUUGCUGAAUAGGAGAAGAGAGGAUGACGGUGUUUCACUUCUUCAAUUGUGCUAUUCUCACCUUCGGCCCUCACGCUGUCUACUACUCCGCCACGCCCCUUUCGGAGUAUGAUACACUUGGUACCUCUGUUAAAGCAGCUCUUGUUUAUCUUGGCACAGCCCUAGUAAAGCUUGUAUGUCUGGCAACUUUUCUUAAAGUAUCUGAAACUGACAGCUUCGAUCCAUAUCAGGAAUUGUUGAAAGCGCUAAUUGGUUUUAUAGACGUUGCUGGCCUUUACUUCGCCUUGACCCAGUUGACUCACAGGAAUAUCUCUCAAAAUCAUAAGUUUCAAGCAGUAGGACUUGGAUGGGCUUUUGCUGAUUCUGUUCUGCAUAGAUUGGCACCUCUUUGGGUGGGUGCUAGAGGACUAGAGUUCACUUGGGACUACAUUUUACAAGGCCUUGAGGCAAAUGCAAAUCUGGUGCUGAGCAUAUCCCUUGCUGCUUUGGGUUCUUUAAUGUGGCUUCGGAAAAACAAACCCAAGACUUUGAUUCCCAUAAUAUAUGCAUGUGCAGGCGUUGUUGCAACCAUGCCAUCUAUUACAAGCUAUCUAAGGCGUGGCCUGGGGUGGCACUUUCCUAAGGUUGUAGGCUUUGAACUCUUCACCUCUCUGGUGAUGGCUUUCAUCAGUUGGCAGCUAUUUUCUGCAUGUCAGAGUCAAAGAUCCUCAUGAGGAAGAACAUGGAUAACCUUUCAACUGGCAAUUUAACCAUAAAAGGGGUUCCAUGAUAUCUGAUUCCUCGAGAAAACCGACUGCAAACCCAUAAGGACAACACCAUACAUGAUUCCAGCAGUCUUGAAUGGUUGGGAUUGCUAUAUAGCCCACAGAAUACUGUUUGGACUCGCCAGCAAUCACCGAGCGGAAAGCAUCCUAUAUUGAUAUGUUUAGAUAUCAAAAAUGGGCUUCCACGAAGCUUGCUUAAACCUAAAAGAUUUGCGAACUUACAUGCCGCUUGUUAACAUGUUAAAUUUUUAUUUUUUGUUUUCUUUUGUUUUUUCGUUAUAAAUUAUGUGUAAUUUAUUUAUUUUAAUAAUUUAUUAAUAUAAUUAAAUAUCA